AGAGUUUGAUCCUGGCUCAGGACGAACGCUGGCGGCGUGCCUAACACAUGCAAGUCGAACGAAGCUGCGUGAAUAGAGGUUUCGGCUAAUUGAAACGUAGACUUAGUGGCGGACGGGUGAGUAAUGCGUGAGCAACCUGCCCUUCAGAGGGGGACAACAGCUGGAAACGGCUGCUAAUACCGCAUGAUGUACUUGGGAGGCAUCUCUUGGGUACCAAAGAUUUAUCGCUGAAGGAUGGGCUCACGUCUGAUUAGCUAGUUGGUGAGGUAACGGCUCACCAAGGCUGCGAUCAGUAGCCGGACUGAGAGGUUGAACGGCCACAUUGGGGCUGAGAUACGGCCCAGACUCCUACGGGAGGCAGCAGUGGGGAAUAUUGGGCAAUGGGCGCAAGCCUGACCCAGCAACGCCGCGUGAAGGAAGAAGGCUUUCGGGUUGUAAACUUCUUUUAUGAGGGACGAAGGACGUGACGGUACCUCAUGAAUAAGCCACGGCUAACUACGUGCCAGCAGCCGCGGUAAUACGUAGGGAGCGAGCGUUAUCCGGAUUCACUGGGUGUAAAGGGCGCGUAGGCGGGCUGGCAAGUCAGAUGUGAAAACUAUGGGCCUAACCCAUAGCCUGCAUUUGAAACUGUUGGUCUUGAGUAUCGGAGAGGCAAUCGGAAUUCCUAGUGUAGCGGUGAAAUGCGUAGAUAUUAGGAGGAACACCAGUGGCGAAGGCGGCUUUCUGGACGAUAACUGACGCUGAGGCGCGAAAGCGUGGGGAGCAAACAGGAUUAGAUACCCUGGUAGUCCACGCCGUAAACGAUGGAUACUAGGUGUAGGAGGUAUCGACCCCUUCUGUGCCGGAGUUAACACAAUAAGUAUCCCACCUGGGGAGUACGGUCGCAAGAUUGAAACUCAAAGGAAUUGACGGGGGCCCGCACAAGCAGUGGAGUAUGUGGUUUAAUUCGAAGCAACGCGAAGAACCUUACCAGGGCUUGACAUCCCGCGCAUAGUCUAGAGAUAGAUGAAGUCUUUCGGGACGCGGAGACAGGUGGUGCAUGGUUGUCGUCAGCUCGUGUCGUGAGAUGUUGGGUUAAGUCCCGCAACGAGCGCAACCCUUACUGUCAGUUGCCAGCACGUAAAGGUGGGGACUCUGGCAGGACUGCCGGUGACAAAUCGGAGGAAGGUGGGGACGACGUCAAAUCAUCAUGCCCCUUAUGUCCUGGGCUACACACGUAAUACAAUGGCAUAUAACAAAGGGAAGCGAAGCCGCGAGGCAGAGCAAAUCCCGAAAAUGUGUCUCAGUUCGGAUCGCAGGCUGCAACCCGCCUGCGUGAAGUCGGAAUUGCUAGUAAUCGUGGAUCAGCAUGCCACGGUGAAUACGUUCCCGGGCCUUGCACUCACCGCCCGUCA
rnacentral:rRNA from 1 species